GACAGAAGGUGCAAGCGUUACUCGGAAUUACUGGGCGUAAAGCGUCUGUAGGUUUUUUGUCACGUCUGGCAGUAAAUUGCGGGGCUCAACCCCGCAGGUCUGUUGGAUACGAGCAAAAUAGAGUCACUCAGAGGCAUCUGGAAUGUCGUGUGUAGGGGUAAAAUCCGUAGAUACACGAUGGAACGCCAAAAGCGAAAGCAGGAUGCUAGGGGUGUACUGACACUCAGAGACGAAAGCGUGGGGAGCAAAGGGG
rnacentral:misc_RNA from 1 species